CCGCUCUGCUGUUGGGACUAAUUUGGAUGGGAAUGGUGAUUUGAUGGUUGAUUAUGAUUACCUGGUUCUUGCUCUUGGAGUUACUGUGAAUACAUUCAACACUCCUGGUGUGAUGGAGCAUUGCCACUUUCUGAAGGUAGUGGAGGAUGCCCAAAAGAUUCGGAAGAGCGUGAUAGACUGCUUUGAAAAGGCGUCACUUCCUAACCUCAGUGAAGAGGAGAAAAGGAAGAUCCUUCACUUUGUGAUUAUCGGUGGUGGACCUACUGGGGUUGAAUUUGCUGUGGAGUUGCAUGAUUUUCUUGUCGAAGAUCUGGUGAAGCUAUAUCCUGCAAUUGAAGAAAACUCUCAACUCCUACUUGCGCUCCGCCUCUUCCUCCUUUUCAUCGCUCAAUAGGAGGCAGCUCAUCUGGCCGUGCAGCAGACCACGUCCUGAGCGGGUCGGUGACGGCGGUUGCAGCUGGUGCACGAUGGCGAUUCCAACGACAACAGGAAUCUGCAACUUGUUAGACUUCUUUGCAACCCCAACAAGGCCCUCAUCUGCUUUGUCUACAUAUAUGCAUGAUUUCUAUGAUUGGAAUCAGAUAGCACUAACUAUGUGUCAGACUGCUAAUAUUUAUUUGCUUGAUGAUCCUUGAAGCGCACUCUACGCUCAUACAUGAUCCCACAUAUUCUAGAUGCUUUCUUGAGGCUUUGGCUAAAAAUCUGUGGUGUACGUCACUCAUCAGGUAACUCUGACGGGCUAAUGCCUUAAGCUGGGACAUACAACAAAAUACUUAUUUUAUGGGAGGAGUUUAUGGAACUGGGUAGUGCUCAUCAGGAUGCUCUUGCAGCAAUUGACACAAUCGAUGUGGCUAAUGGAGCCAGUGAGUAACCUUGCCACCCUUCAGUAUGGUUCCUAUCUUUAGACAGUCACAUCCACGUUCGUACUUUUAGAAUAGUUGUUGCAACGGGGAAGAGCAUUUCUGCAAUAGCAAGAUAUCAGGACCCAAUGGGCAUAGGCCGAACCAACCACCAUCACUAUUGCUUCAGGAUUAGAUAGCCAACUUCCACUCAUGAGCCUGUCGAGUCAAGUUUCAGACUGAUCAUGUAUCCCCUUGAUAUUCACUGGAUGGAAUCCCCUGUUUUACUCAAACUGAACCUUCUACAAACAUCGGAAAAGCAACAGUAGUAAAGAUGGACAGAAAUUCCAAAAAUAAGGUGUUUUUUAUGGAUGUAGCUGGUUGCGAUGAAGCUAAACAAGAAAUAAUGCUAUCACUUAUUACCUUUGUCCUUCAAAUUUGAGUAUAGUCCUGCGAAAUAAUGAAUAUUUGUGUCUCAUUGCUCCAGCAUGGUCAAUAAAGAUAUGUUGACCCAGGAAAUAGGUUGGAUGGAGCAUCGAGGAUUUCAGGCUUGGGGUGGCCACGUGUUGCAGGAUAGCAGGAAGAGUUGGAUGUGUUCUGCAGAGACCAGGUGAUCAAUGUCGUUGCCGCCAGGAAAUGAAGUUUCUU